ACCCCUGCAGCGCAAUGGAUAGCGCGUUGGACUUCUAAUCCAAAAGUCGUGGCUUCCAAUCAUACUUGGGAUG